AACUCAACCUCUGACGUGUGACGCACCGGAGCGCUCAGAGAGUAGGAAGGUAAUGUGAUAGCAUCGAAGGAUGUUGCUGUGAAGCAAUCUGGAGAUGUCACAUGUGCAGAUCUUGGUGGUAGUAGCAAGUACUCAAUUGAAAACCUUGAGCACUGAAGUUGGGGGUGGGUUCCAGGUGAUUAAGUUACUGGUACCCAUGGAAUGAAGUAAAUUUGAGAUAUGGGUAAGGGUGACAUAAAGCUGCUCAUAUUAGAGUAGUUUAGUUGAUUCCUUUGGUCCUUGAAAAUUUGAGCGUGGUGAUUAUCUUGGUGGCAGUCCGUACUGAUAUCUGCAGCAGGUCUCCAAGAUGUGAAGCCUUUAGUGUCUAGAUUAAUGUAGGUAAGGGAAGUCGACAAAAUAGUUCUGAAACUUUGGGAGAAGGGAUGGCUCUGAAGGUUGAUCCAGCCAGGUUGACAGUAGAAGUAUUUAUGACAUUGUGUUGUCGCCGGAUGGACUUCGUGUCUGUCUGGAUGAUGACCGAAGUUGUGUUUAUGGACAUUGUUAGCUAUUUCGGUUUAUGCUGAUGUGAGUGGAAAUUAUCAACUACUUCAGAACUGGCAGGAACUGAGGGAAUCCGACUGUCUAAUUAAAACAAAGCAUUGUGAAAUCCAGUAAUUGGUUAUGACACAAUGUGAUUUCUGCCCAGUGCUCUGAAUGUCAAAGUGAAGAGAUUCUUUGAAGCGCGGGUGAACGGCGGGAGUAACUAUGACUCUCUUAUGGUAGCCAAAUGCCUCGUCAUCUAAUUAGUGACGCGCAUGAAUGGAUUAACGAGAUUCCCACUGUCCCUAUCUACUGUCUAGCGAAACCACAGCCAAGGGAACGGGCUUGGACUGAAUGGCGGGGAAAGAAGACCCUGUUGAGCUUGACUGUAGUCUGACUUGGUGAAGAGACAUAGGAGGUGUAGCAUAAGUGGGAGACUCGUCAUCAAUGAAAAACCACUACUCCUAUUGUUUCUUUAAUUACUCAAUGAAGUAAAUAGGGUCAUUCCAUGUUUUAGAAAGAAGCAUAGUAAUUUGUGAGAUUUAUAUUGAGACCAUAGUCAGGUGGGGAGUACGAGAGGAACCGUAGGUUUAGACAAUUGGUUUUGUGUUUGAUUGAAAAAUCAGAGGCACUAAACUACCAUCUAAUGGAUUAUGACUGAACGCCUGUAAGUCAGAAUCCAAUCCGGAGUCCAUAACAUUAGUGUCUGGAAUGUGAAUUGUUUAUUAAAUAGUUGUGUGAGUGCAUAACUGAGCAACAUGAGCAAAUUGAAAUGAAGUAGCGAAUGUCUUCAUAGAGGUUUUUGAUCUUAUUAUGUUCCGGGCACAAGACAAUCUGCAUAUGACUUUUAUCAGUCGAAGUGUUGUAAUUAGUAGAGCAGUUACCAUACUGCGAUCUAAUGAGACGUAUCUUCGUAUUGGGAGUUUGCUGUUUGCGAUGAAAUAAUUGGCUUGUUGCAAUAGCAUAAAAGAGCAUAAAAGAAACAUAACAACCUGUUGCGAUUGUUAGCCAUGGUUCACAACGUAAAGAUUUGAGUAAAUUUAUGGAACUUCCUCCAUAAUCUAAUGGAUUAUGACUGAACGCCUCUAAGUCAGAAUCCAACCCAGAGUCCAUAACAUUAGUGUCUGGAAUGUGUAUUGU
rnacentral:rRNA from 1 species